rnacentral:rRNA from 1 species
GGGCCCGCACAAGCGGUGGAGCAUGUGGUUUAAUUCGAUGAUACGCGAGGAACCUUACCAGGGCUUAAAUGUAGUCUGACAGGGGUGGAAACACCCCCUCCUUCGGGCAGAUUACAAGGUGCUGCAUGGUUGUCGUCAGCUCGUGCCGUGAGGUGUCAGGUUAAGUCCUAUAACGAGCGCAACCCCUGCCGUUAGUUGCCAGCAUGUAAUGAUGGGAACUCUAACGGGACUGCUGGUGCAAAACCGCGAGGAAGGUGGGGGAUGACGUCAAAUCAUCACGGCCCUUACGUCCUGGGCUACACACGUGCUACAAUGGGCGGUACAAAAGGGCAGCGAAGCCCGCGAGGCCCAAG